rnacentral:rRNA from 1 species
UACGGGGGGUGCAAGCGUUGUUCGGAAUUACUGGGCGUAAAGGGCUCGUAGGCGGCCCACUAAGUCAGACGUGAAAUCCCUCGGCUUAACCGGGGAACUGCGUCUGAUACUGGAUGGCUUGAGUUCGGGAGAGGGAUGCGGAAUUCCAGGUGUAGCGGUGAAAUGCGUAGAUAUCUGGAGGAACACCGGUGGCGAAGGCGGCAUCCUGGACCGACACUGACACUGAGGAGCGAAAGCCAGGGGAGCAAACGGG